rnacentral:rRNA from 1 species
UACAGAGGGGGCAAGCGUUGUUCGGAAUUACUGGGCGUAAAGGGCGCGUAGGCGGCCUGCUAAGUCGAACGUGAAAUCCCCGGGCUCAACCCGGGAACUGCGUCCGAUACUGACAGGCUUGAAUCCGGGAGAGGGAUGUGGAAUUCCAGGUGUAGCGGUGAAAUGCGUAGAUAUCUGGAGGAACACCGGUGGCGAAGGCGGCAUCCUGGACCGGUAUUGACGCUGAUGCGCGAAAGCUAGGGGAGCAAACGGG